rnacentral:rRNA from 2 species
CUGCCCCUGACUCUGGGAUAAGCGGUGGAAACGCCGUCUAAUACCGGAUACGACCCUCCGUCUCAUGAUGGUGGGUGGAAAGUUUUUCGGUCAGGGAUGGGCUCGCGGCCUAUCAGCUUGUUGGUGGGGUAACGGCCUACCAAGGCGAUUACGGGUAGCCGGCCUGAGAGGGCGACCGGCCACACUGGGACUGAGACACGGCCCAGACUCCUGCGGGAGGCAGCAGUGGGGAAUAUUGCGCAAUGGGCGAAAGCCUGACGCAGCGACGCCGCGUGGGGGAUGACGGCCUUCGGGUUGUAAACCUCUUUUACCACCAACGCAGGCCCGGGGUUCUCUCCGGGUUGACGGUAUGUGGGGAAUAAGGACCGGCUAACUACGUGCCAGCAGCCGCGGUAAUACGUAGGGUCCGAGCGUUGUCCGGAAUUAUUGGGCGUAAAGAGCUCGUAGGCGGCGUGUCGCGUCUGCUGUGAAAGACCGGGGCUUAACUCCGGUUCUGCAGUGGAUACGGGCAUGCUAGAGGUAG